UAAAAUUUAAAAGUCAUACCGUAGACAGUAGGAGUGCUUUGCACUUAAUCGCCUACCGAGGUAAGCAAUAGAUGCAGAUAAUAAACUGUGUUUGUGUGCCCUCAUGUCUACAUGAGGGCACUUUUUAUGCUUGA
rfam:Bacillus hemicellulosilyticus JCM 9152 DNA, contig:contig_20.